rnacentral:piRNA from 1 species
UUCCAUUAGCAUUUAUAUGCA